rnacentral:ncRNA from 2 species
ACAAUAUAGAUUUUCCGAGCCUGCGCAGCCUAAGGGAAACUAUGGACGCAGGUCUGAGAUUAAAUUCUCACGGGGUACCGCUGGAAACGGCGAUGCCUUCCCUAUCGAAAAGGAGAAAGGCCAUACGUCUA